GGAAAAUUCCCAAGAUUUCACUCACAAAUCAGUUUAAUUGUGGGAGUCAGAGUCCUUGAACGUAGCAUGAAAGAAGGGCCAUGGGAAGACAAUUGUCCAGAAUUUAUUUAGCAGCAGGUCCAGCCCACAAGAGAACUAGAACAGUUGAGGGAAUCCAUCUGCUUGAUCCACUAUUGAAGAUAUUUUCAUCCUCUAGGACAUGCCAUCAACAUGGUUUAGUACAUCUGAUGCAAAACCAAAAGAAGUCAGGAAGAGAGAGUGGGUUUGUUUCAGCAAUGAUUAGGAAUCAACAUGGGAAGCUCUAGCAGAAUGUUCAAUAUCUCUUGAUUGCACUGAUGGGACCCUUUCAGUAUAUUACCUAAUGCAUAACUCUUUCCAAGCAAUAGUUAACUCUUUCCAAGCAAUAGUUAGGUGAAUCUGUGGGAAGGAUGAAUUAGUGUGAUCUACCAAUGAGAAUGUCAUGAGAGUUAGUGUGUCAAGUUCACUGACAAAAUGAAGUUGAUAUCUGGCAGGUUAAGGUUGAAUUUGAUUUUGGGGGUGAAGGCAAUGAUAAUGAUAUGAAAUUCAAGGCGAGGGUUGUACGCUGGUGCUCAGUGCUCUUAUGUUUACUAUGGCAAAUGAAAAUGACUGUUGUUUUAUAUACCGUAGUAUAGAUUACAAACUUACCAAAUAAUUACCUUGUAGGUAACUUUUGUUGAACCCCUGCAGAG